GUACUUGGGAGGGGACGCCUUUGUCCGCGGCCCAUUCACGGCGGAGCCGGCUCCGGGCGGAGAAGCUGUCGGGCGCUGUCGCACAAAGCGAUUUUGUGCCUCCUCCCGGCGCCUUCCUCCACUCCCUGCCGCGUUCAAGGACAAACAAGGACCUCCAAAUUCGUGUUCAAACGCCCCGCGUGCUCUAGAGGCUAGAAAUUGGCAGUCAGGAUGUGUGUAAGGCCACGCUCCCUCUGAAGACUCCAGGGGAGGAUCUUUCCUUGCCUCCUCCAGCUUCUGGUGGCUGCCAGCAUCCUUGGCAUUCCUUGGCCUGUGGACACAUCACUCUCAUCUCUGCCCAUGGUCACCCCAGAACCCCAAGCUCCAGAAUACAGACCAGCAGGCGAGGAGACAAGGAGGCAAGCAGAUGGAUGGUGGAACAAAGUGGCAGAGAAAGAGAGAAGAGGAGAGAUGUCUGGACGCCAAGAGGAGUCUGGCUGGGGCCAGUCAGAGAAGAGUCCAGCGGCUGGGCAGCCCGACUCCAGGGGAAGAUCACCUUCCCACUCCAUCCCCCUUCACGCUCCCCAUCCAUCUCACUAAGAGCCAUCUCUACCACUCAAUAAAACCUUGCAUUCAUCCUUCAA
rnacentral:lncRNA from 10 species